CUAAGCUCAAGCCUACUCCCGCCGACCCCCUCCUCCCCGACACGCUAACGGCACCCCGACCCUCCCUCCUAGUAGCGCUGCUGCCUGUGCGACCCCAUCCUCCGCUGACCGCCAUCCCAACCGGCACCCGACCCCUACGCGAGCUGCGCGCCCUCCCCUGCCCAAUCCACCCCUUUCUCGAGCUGGGCUCCUCCCUCCCCUUGCGCUACCAGCGUCUCUUUCAGCCAUGGCUAUCGCUGGUGCCCCGUUGGAGGCCUAACGGGCACUUGGCCUCCCCCUUUCCUCCUCAUUUGUCAAAGUCCAAUUAUCUCAUGGGCAUAUAUAUGAUAACUACUGUUGGUGGGAAUGGAGGUUAACUUGGGGGGGAAGCAGUUUGUUUCCGAUAAACUCCGUGAAAAGCUCUCUCACUUGCGCCAUGAGUGCGCGUUGAUUGUUAAAUUGUUAUAAAACUUGAAAAUUAAGAAUGAGGCCAUUAGCAAGAGGAAUAUGUUAUUAAUGGCAAACAAGUAAGUUAAAAAGUUUCAACCUUUUUUCCUAUUUACAUGGGUUUAUUAGACUGGUCCUCCUCGGUAUCAUAGAAAUGUUUAGCAUCGAUAAAUUCUUCUCUCUUUUGCCUUCAUCCCAGCAUGCUAAAGACACUUGAUAGAUAUCAGAAAUGCAGCUAUGGUGCAAUGAAAGUUAGCAAGCCAGCCCAAGAGCUUGAGUUGAGAUGGCAAUAAUUCUAUCAUUGCACAAUAUUUACUGCAACUUAAUUUGAGAGCUUGAGCUGCUAUUGGGAGUACCUGAAACUGAAAGCUAGAUAUGAGGCCCUGCAACGCACUCAGAGAAAUCUUCUUGAUCAAGACUUGGGCCCCUUGAACUCCAAAAGAGCUUAAGCAGCAUGAGCGUCAACUAUAGUCAUCCUUGAAACAUGUCCGCUCCACCAAGAACUAGUCAAAGAACGUUAUGGACCCGACUGAUUCCAAGUUUGUUUUUCUUUUGAGAUGCAACCAAAUUUCCAUCACUGUAGUUUCUAGUUGUGAGGUCUGGUUUACAUUCCAUAUGUUCAAGGAUUUGGCAACAGCAUUCUAGUCGUGAGAGACAUUGAAUCCAAUAUUCCAAUUAAGUUUAAGUCCAUGGAAUAAGAAAAUAACAGCAAGGCAGAAUAAAUGUUAGACACCAAAGUAUCACACGUGCAAAUAUCUCUAGAUAUGGUUUUAGGGUGGUUGGGAGCACUACAAAUGAAAGUUGAAGGGUAUUUGAGAGCAUUAAUUCGCAAAAGCUUGAUGAGGUUAUUACUUUGCAAAAGCAAGUUGAAUAUGCUCUUGGUAUUUAUGUAUUUAUUCAUGAUCAUCAUUUUUUACAACUUUGUAACUUGUAAGUUGUGAGAAAUGCCACUAGGUUUUCAUUAAGUUGUUGUAUUGUGUCUAAUAUCUUGAUAAUAUAUCUGUAGUGAGAAAUGCUAAAUGAUUUUCAUAAGUUGUUGCAUAGUGUCUUGAUAAUAUAUUUGUUACUUAGUUCUCUUUGACUGUUUCUUAAUAAACUUACGUACUUGGGCAUUGAUGAUGAAGAUAUCAAAGAGGAAUUCAUGAAAACCAUAAAGAUCCAAUCCCUGAAGCUGGUCCUAGUAAUGCAGCAGGAUUAAUCUUUUAGCAUAUGGUGCAUUAAAUGGAUAAAAGCAGUAGUUCCUGUGGAGAAGCAAGUAAAUUUUGGCGAUAAAACUGAUUACUUGAGCCUUUUUUUAAAGAUAUAUGCAGCACUUGCACCGAUAUGUUCAUAGAGAAGCAAGUAAAUUUUGGCGAUAGAACUGAUUACUUGAGCCCUUUUAAAGACAU